rnacentral:telomerase_RNA from 1 species
ACCGGGGGUGAAGGCGUAAGAGCAUCAAAGCAUCCGUGGGCACAUUGUGCCUAAACCCUAAACCAUGCCUUUCUUAGGUUUGGCUCUUCGCUGAGGUGGUUUUCCCGGCGGUUUAUGCCUCAUAAAACAAAUACCAAACGCCGAUGCCUUGCCUUGAUGUCUCAUACGGUGGAUGAUGCCAUUAAAGGCUUGAUGGUGGCGAGCUGUUGGUGGCCAUUAACUUGGCACUUCGCGGCAAGUCGAUCUCCUCGCCUUUGCAAGUAGCCCCCUUUUUU